rnacentral:lncRNA from 1 species
AUGUAUGGACGUUUGAGAUCUUUUAGAUUGUACCAGAGGGUUUCCCCAGACGGCUUCUGCGGGUUGCGCAGACGCAAAACUCCCCCUUCGUCGUGUCAGCCGUGCCGCCAACGGUGGCUGCCUGGCUGCUGCCCUCCCUCCCCGGAGCGACGGCGCUGCCCUUGCAGCCCCUGCAGGUACCCACCCUCCCCUCCGCGCUGCCCCAGGCCACCGUCUGGCACGUGGUGCCGGGGGUCCAGGGGCAGGUGCUGCAGCUCCCCGCCGGGGUGCAGCUGCCACCUGGGGGGCACCUCCCAGCCCAGGGGCACCACCUGCAGCUUGGGCAGCUCCCCGCCGUGGGGCAGCUCCCUGCUGGGGGGCAAAACCUGCAGCUGGUGCAGCUCCCAACCAUGGGGCACCAGCUGCAGCUGGUGCAGCUCCCCGCCGUGGGGCAGCUCCCCCACACCGCUCCUCCCUGUGCCCCCGUCCAUCAGUGGGGACAGCCCAUGGUGACGGGGACACUGGUGCCCCACCAUGCGCUGGGGCUGGGGCCCAGGGCCGUGCUCCAUGGGGAGCUCCUGCACCCCGCAGGCACCUGCCUGUUGCAGGCCCCCGCCCAGCGCAACCCCCCGCCACCCCUCGUCCCGGGGCCUCCGCUGCGGGGGCAGGCGCUCCCCACGCCCCGCACCCUGAGCAGCAGCCGGGGGCAGCUGCCGGAGCCCUGCUUGCACGCCGUGGGGCUCAGCGAGGACCAGGGGCCCCCGCUGCCCGGCCCCACUCCCCCCGAGCCUGCCCAGGCUCCAAGGACCGCCAGCACCCAGACGGCGACGCCCGACGGUGAGUUUGGGGCUGGCACAGCCGGCCGCUUGUGGCCCCACACCCAGGGGCCACGGGAAAGCUGACAUCGCCCGUCUUGGGGGAUUUUCUUGCUUGGUCCUCAGCGGCGACAGCCCCGCAGGUGCCUGAGGAGCCCCCGCAGCUGCCCGAGCUGGGCCCCGAUGCCUUGGCCGAGGCCUUUCCAGAGCUGGCAGGGGACAGCCAGCAGCUGCAGCACGUGCAGGACGAGCUCCUGGCCCACC